AGCCUUUCUGGCGGCGGAUGACCUCGCGGACGACCUCGCCCAGGCAGGGGUUUUCUGCGGCAGCAGAGGAGGUUCCCACUCGGAAGGUCUGGGCCGCGGGUCUGAGCUCCCAGCGCUCCCCGCCGAAGCCAGGCUGGCACAGGCAGUAGGGCUCCCCUUGCUCGGAGACGUGGCACUGCCCGUGGUGACACCCGAAGGCCGAGCAGGCGCCGGCGGAGUCGUUCCUGCGGUCACACAGG